rnacentral:rRNA from 1 species
AGUGUAGGCGGUUAUCUAAGUCGGAUGUGAAAGCCCUGGGCUCAACCUGGGAAUGGCAUUCGAUACUGGGUAACUAGAGUUUGGUAGAGGUAAGUGGAAUUCCGGGUGUAGCGGUGAAAUGCGUAGAUAUCCGGAGGAACAUCAGUGGCGAAGGCGGCUUACUGGACCAAAACUGACGCUGAGGCUCGAAAGCGUGGGGAGCAAACAGGAUUAGAUACCCUGGUAGUCC